rnacentral:rRNA from 1 species
GACACGCUGGCGGCGUGCCUAAUACAUGCAAGUCGAGCGGAAUGAUGAAGAAGCUUUGCUUUCUUUCUGAUUUUUAGCGGCGGACGGGUUGAGUAACACGUGGGCAACCUACCUUGUAGAUUGGGAUAACUCCGGGAAACCGGGGCUAAUACCGAAUAAUCCAUUUUUGCUUCAUGGCGAGAUGUUAAAAGGCGGCUUCGGCUGUCACUACGAGAUGGGCCCGCGGCGCAUUAGCUAGUUGGUAGGGUAAUGGCCUACCAAGGCGACGGAUGCGUAGCCGACCUGAGAGGGUGAUCGGCCACACUGGGACCGAGACACGGCCCAGACUCCUACGGGAGGCAGCAGUAGGGAAUCUUCCACAAUGGACGAAAGUCUGAUGGAGCAACGCCGCGUGAGUGAAGAAGGUUUUCGGAUCGUAAAACUCUGUUGUAAGGGAAGAACACGUACGAGAGUAACUGCUCGUACCUUGACGGUACCUUAUUAGAAAGCCACGGCUAACUACGUG